CAGUAGCCACGGUAAUACGUAGGUGGCAAGCGUUGUCCGGAUUUAUUGGGCGUAAAGCGAGCGCAGGCGGUUCCUUAAGUCUGAUGUGAAAGCCCACGGCUCAACCGUGGAAGGUCAUUGGAAACUGGGGAACUUGAGUGCAGAAGAGGAGAGUGGAAUUCCAUGUGUAGCGGUGAAAUGCGUAGAUAUAUGGAGGAACACCAGUGGCGAAGGCGACUCUCUGGCUUGUAACUGACGCUGAGGCUCGAAAGCGUGGGGAGCAAACAGGAUUAGAUACCCCCGUAGUCCCUGUCUCUUAUAC
rnacentral:rRNA from 1 species